rnacentral:lncRNA from 1 species
GGUACUAUUGCUAGAUGGUCACUUCGAUUGGUACAGAAAUUUAUUCCUGUGCUACCGGCUUAGGUUCGAACAUAUGAGAUCACACACAUUAGAGUUCAUGAUCUGAUCAGAUGGUUGAUCAAUGAUUAAGAAUCAUUAUAGGGUUAGCUCUCCAUUCAGAAAAAUUAUCUUUACAUCCAUCUGCCAGAUCUCAUAAUCCAGAUGGACAGCUAUUACAAGCAUUAUCCGAAUGGAUUUGAGCAUUGUCACAG